rnacentral:rRNA from 1 species
GACGAACGCUGGCGGCGUGCCUAAUACAUGCAAGUAGAACGCUGAAGCGAGGAGCUUGCUCUUCUUGGAUGAGUUGCGAACGGGUGAGUAACGCGUAGGUAACCUGCCUUGUAGCGGGGGAUAACUAUUGGAAACGAUAGCUAAUACCGCAUAACAAUGGAUGACACAUGUCAUUUAUUUGAAAGGGGCAAUUGCUCCACUACAAGAUGGACCUGCGUUGUAUUAGCUAGUAGGUGAGGUAGUGGCUCACCUAGGCGACGAUACAUAGCCGACCUGAGAGGGUGAUCGGCCACACUGGGACUGAGACACGGCCCAGACUCCUACGGGAGGCAGCAGUAGGGAAUCUUCGGCAAUGGGGGCAACCCUGACCGAGCAACGCCGCGUGAGUGAAGAAGGUUUUCGGAUCGUAAAGCUCUGUUGUAAGUCAAGAACGGGUGUGAGAGUGGAAAGUUCACACUGUGACGGUAGCUUACCAGAAAGGGACGGCUAACUACGUG